rnacentral:rRNA from 1 species
GAUCUGAACGGUAAUCAGCGGCGAGUGAGCGAGCAAAAGCUCAAUUUGAAUCUGGCACUUUCAGUGUCCGAGUUGUAAUUUGAAGAAGGUAUCUUUGGGUCUGGCUCUUGUCUAUGUUUCUUGGAACAGAACGUCACAGAGGGUGAGAAUCCCGUGCGAUGAGAUGUCCCAGACCUAUGUAAAGUUCCUUCGAAGAGUCGAGUUGUUUGGGAAUGCAGCUCUAAGUGGGUGGUAAAUUCCAUCUAAAGCUAAAUAUUGGCGAGAGACCGAUAGCGAACAAGUACAGUGAUGGAAAGAUGAAAAGAACUUUGAAAAGAGAGUGAAAAAGUACGUGAAAUUGUUGAAAGGGAAGGGCUUGAGAUCAGACUUGGUAUUUUGUAUGUUACUCUCUCGGGGGUGGCCUCUACAGUUUACCGGGCCAGCAUCAGUUUGAGCGGUAGGAUAAGUGCAAGAAUGUGGCACUGCUUCGGUAGUGUGUUAUAGUCUUUGUCGAUACUGCCAGCUUAGACUGAGACUGCGGCUUCAGCCUACGAUGUUGGCAUAAUGAUCUUAGUCGCCGUCUAACCACGAGACGCA